rnacentral:rRNA from 1 species
GACGAACGCUGGCGGCGUGCUUAACACAUGCAAGUCGAACGGAAAGGCCCUGCUUUUGUGGGGUGCUCGAGUGGCGAACGGGUGAGUAACACGUGAGUAACCUGCCCUUGACUUUGGGAUAACUUCAGGAAACUGGGGCUAAUACCGGAUAGGAGCUCCUGCUGCAUGGUGGGGGUUGGAAAGUUUCGGCGGUUGGGGAUGGACUCGCGGCUUAUCAGCUUGUUGGUGGGGGAGUGGCUUACCAAGGCUUGGACGGGUAGCCGGCCUGAGAGGGUGACCGGCCACAUUGGGACUGAGAUACGGCCCAGACUCCUACGGGAGGCAGCAGUGGGGAAUAUUGCACACUGGGCGGAAGCCUGAUGCAGCAACGCCGCGUGCGGGAUGACGGCCUUCGGGUUGUAAACCGCUUUCGCCUGUGACGAAGCGUGAGUGACGGUAAUGGGGAAAGAAGCACCGGCGAACUACGG